GAAUCUUUGAAGACUGUGGCAGGAAUCCCUUGAUAGGUGGGGUUAGGAUCUCUGAAGGGCAGGGUUGGAAUCUUUGGACCGGCGGUAUAGACCCCUGGGUAUUAAAACUCUUAGGCGGCGGGAGGUUAGAUCGCGCAGGAGCAGGAGCGGUAUUGGAACCCUGGGGUUUGUGUUCUAAAUCUUAGGGCAGGGUUAGAAUCCACUGAAGUGAGAGUUCGGAUCCUUCCACUGGGCAGAUUAGAAUCUUUGGGGGCAAGUUGAGUUUAAAAAUCCUUCAGAGGUGGGAUUAAAAAUCCU
rnacentral:lncRNA from 1 species